rnacentral:rRNA from 1 species
GACGAACGCUGGCGGCGUGCUUAACACAUGCGAGUCGAACGGAAAGGCCCUGCUUUUGUGGGGUUCUCGAGUGGCGAGCGGGUGAGUAACACGUGAGUAACCUGCCCUUGUCUUUGGGAUAACUUCAGGAAACUGGGGCUAAUACCCGAUAGGAGCUCCUGCUGCAUGGGGGGGGUUGGAAAGUUUCGGCGUUGCGGGAUGGACUCGCGGCUUAUGAGCUUGUUGGUGGGGUAGUGGCUUACGAAGGGUUUGACGGGUAGCCGGCCUGAGAGGGUGACCGGGGACAUUGGGACUGAGGUAGGCACCAGACGGCAAUGGUAGGCAGCGGUGGGGAGUAUUGCACAAUAGGCGGAAGCCUGAGGCAGCGAUGCUGCGAGCGGGAUGACGUCUUUCGGGUUGUAAACCGAUUUGUCAGGUGACGAAGCGGGAGUGACGGUAAUGGGUAAAGAAGCACCGGCUAACUACGUG